rnacentral:rRNA from 1 species
UUAGCAAUCUGCCCUUCUCUUCGGAAUAAGCGUGGGAAACCGCGUCUAAUGCCGAAUACGACCUCCUUUCGCAUGAUCGGAGGUGGAAAGCUCCGGCGGAGAAGGAUGAGCUCGCGGCCUAUCAGCUUGUUGGUGAGGUAAUGGCUUACCAAGGUGACGACGGGUAGCCGGCCUGAGAGGGUGACCGGCCACACUGGGACUGAGACACGGCCCAGACUCCUACGGGAGGCAGCAGG